rnacentral:rRNA from 1 species
UACAGAGGUCUCAAGCGUUGUUCGGAUUCAUUGGGCGUAAAGGGUGCGUAGGCGGCGCGGUAAGUCGAGUGUGAAAUCUUGGAGCUUAACUCCGAAACUGCAUUCGAUACUGCCGUGCUUGAGGACUGGAGAGGAGACUGGAAUUUACGGUGUAGCGGUGAAAUGCGUAGAUAUCGUAAGGAAGACCAGUGGCGAAGGCGGGUCUCUGGACAGUUCCUGACGCUGAGGCACGAAGGCCAGGGGAGCAAACAGG